CAAAGGAAAGUGAGGUGGCCCAGUGAAGAGAGACAGUGAUCAAAACAGAUGGAAAGUGUGGAAGAUAGAGCCACUGCUCCUGAAGAAAAAGCUAGGGGUGGACUGCUACACCAAUGUUACCACACCACUUCCAGUGGAGCUCAAGCUACUGCCACUGAGGACUGCACAGUACCAGUUAACCUCCAACAGAGAGAUUACCCAAAGGCUCUUGAUGUCUUGGACUUGCAAGGCUGA
rnacentral:lncRNA from 1 species